AACGAACGCUGGCGGCAUGCCUUACACAUGCAAGUCGAACGGCAGCACGGGAGCAAUCCUGGUGGCGAGUGGCGAACGGGUGAGUAAUAUAUCGGAACGUGCCCAGUAGUGGGGGAUAACUGCUCGAAAGAGCAGCUAAUACCGCAUACGACCUGAGGGUGAAAGGGGGGGAUCGCAAGACCUCUCGCUAUUGGAGCGGCCGAUAUCAGAUUAGCUAGUUGGUGGGGUAAGGGCCUACCAAGGCAACGAUCUGUAGUUGGUCUGAGAGGACGACCAGCCACACUGGGACUGAGACACGGCCCAGACUCCUACGGGAGGCAGCAGUGGGGAAUUUUGGACAAUGGGCGCAAGCCUGAUCCAGCAAUGCCGCGUGCAGGAAGAAGGCCUUCGGGUUGUAAACUGCUUUUGUCAGGGAAGAAAUCCUCUAGGUUAAUACCCUUGGGGGGAUGACGGUACCUGAAGAAUAAGCACCGGCUAACUACGUGCCAGCCGCCGCCGUAAAAC
rnacentral:rRNA from 1 species